rnacentral:rRNA from 1 species
AAUCGGGUAGUCCACGCCGUAAACGAUGAGUGCUAAGUGUUAGGGGGUUUCCACCCCUUAGUGCUGCAGCUAACGCAUUAAGCACUCCGCCUGGGGAGUACGGUCGCAAGACUGAAACUCAAAGGAAUUGACGGGGGCCCGCACAAGCGGUGGAGCAUGUGGUUUAAUUCGAAGCAACGCGAAGAACCUUACCAGGUCUUGACAUCCCGCUGACCGCUAUGGAGACAUAGCCUUCCCUUCGGGGACAGCGGUGACAGGUGGUGCAUGGUUGUCGUCAGCUCGUGUCGUGAGAUGUUGGGUUAAGUCCCGCAACGAGCGCAACCCUUGUCCUUAGUUGCCCAUCAUUUCAGUUGGGCACUCUAAGGAGACUGCCGUACAAAUACGGAGGAAGGUGGGGAUGACGUCAAAUCAUCAUGCCCCUUAUGACCUGGGCUACACACGUGCUACAAUGGACGGUACAAACGGUCGCGAAGUCGCGAGACGGAGCCAAUCCGAAAAAACCGUUCUCAGUUCGGAUUGCAGGCUGCAACUCG